rnacentral:rRNA from 1 species
AUUGAACGCUGGCGGCAGGCUUAACACAUGCAAGUCGAACGAGUGGCGGACGGGUGAGUAAUGCUUGGGAAUCUGGCUGAUGGAGGGGGAUAACUACGGGAAACGGUAGCUAAUACCGCGUACCAUAGGAUGAGCCCAGAUGGGAUUAGGUAGUUGGUGGGGUAAAGGCUCACCUAGCCGACGAUCCCUAGCUGGUCUGAGAGGAUGACCAGCCACACUGGGACUGAGACACGGCCCAGACUCCUACGGGAGGCAGCAGUGGGGAAUAUUGCGCAAUGGGCGCAACCCUGACGCAGCCAUGCCGCGUGAAUGAAGAAGGCCUUCGGGUUGUAAAGUUCUUUCAGUAGCGAGGCGUUAACUACAGAAGAAGCACCGGCUAACUCCGUGCCAGCAGCCGCGGUAAUAC